rnacentral:rRNA from 1 species
CGAACGAUUAAACCGCCCUCGGGCGGACAUAGAGUGGCGAACGGGUGAGUAACACGUGACCAACCUGCCCCGCGCUCCGGGACAACCGCUGGAAACGGCGGCUAAUACCGGAUACUCCGCGGCCCCGCAUGGGGGCGCGGGAAAGCCCUUACGGCGCGGGAUGGGGUCGCGGCCCAUUAGGUAGUAGGCGGGGUAACGGCCCACCUAGCCCGCGAUGGGUAGCCGGACUGAGAGGUCGACCGGCCACAUUGGGACUGAGACACGGCCCAAACUCCUACGGAAGGCAGCAG